UUCAUAAAAUUAUAUGAAAUACAAGGUUACAAAACUAUCUCUAAAAUUUAUGCCUAUCAAUUGCAUAGAUUUUAAACCCCGCUAUAACUAAAAAAAAAAAAAUACAAAUACUGCGCUAUUAAAAAAGAUUGCCGCUUGUGCCAAAAAUUUUUCCCUCUCUUUAAUUAAAAGAUCUUCCUCAUUUCCCCCAAAUCACUCUCUCACAUUCUCCCUGCCCCCCACAAAAUCUACCGGCCUCUCUCAUUUUCCCCCUAAUUAACUUCGGUCAGUCGGCCAUUGCUAUUCCGACCGGCCAUUGCACAUAUUGGAUUCCGAGGAUGGUGUUGCAAUUGAGCUGGACUCCGAGGCUGGUAUUGCAAUUGACAGAUUAAUGACGAAAGCAAACUGUAUAUCUUUCUUGAGCUUGUUACAAAAUGUUCGCUUGCAAGUGUCUAUCGCAAGUAUCACUUGCGUGAUUCCCAUGUUUCGGAUUAUAACAGGCAAAUCUUGAGUGGGUUGCAUUAGCUUCAUUCCAGAGAAGUGAUGCACAGGUAACAUCAAAGAAGGAUCAACAACAAUAUUGGGCUAACAAUAUUGGGCUAACAAAGAGGACGUGAAGAAAUGGUGGAUCUGGGGUUACUGGAUCUCACCAUUGAUGUAUUCUGUGAAUUCAAUUCUUGUGAAUGAAUUUGAUGGGAAGAAGUGGAAACGUUUUGCGCUAAAUGGAAAUGAGACACUUGGACAUGCAGUAGUAAGAGCUCGCGGAUUCUUUCCAGAUGCAUAUUGGUAUUGAAUAGGUGUUGUGGAACUUAUUAGAUUCAUGAUAAUCUUUAACAUCUGCUACAAUAUUGGACUCGCUUACCUGAAUCCUUUAAGAAGCCAUAAGUUAUGAAAUCAAACGACAAUGAGAAUGCAGAAAAGGAAAGGCUUAUUGAGGGAAGUGAAACUGAGGUUCAAGACAAGAAGAGGGGAAUGGUUCUUCCAUUUGAACCACACUCCAUCAGUUUUGAUAACAUUGUAUACUCUGUUGACAUGCCUCAGGAAAUAAAAGACCAAGGUUCCACUGAAGAUAGAUUGGUACUUCUAAAGGGUGUGAGUGGAGCUUUCUGGCCAGGUGUUCUCACAGCUUUGAUGGGUGUUAGUGGUGCUGGUAAACAACAUUGAUGGAUGUCUUGGUUGGAAGAAAAAUAGAAGGAUAUAUAUAUUGAUGGUGAUAUCAAGAUUUCUGGAUAUCCUAAGAACCAAGAAACCUUUGUAUGUAUCUCUGGAUAUUGUGAACAGAAUGACAUUCAUUCGCCUUAUGUUACUAUUUAUGAGUCCUUGUUGUACUCAGCUUGGCAGCGUUUACCUCAAGACAUUGAAAAAUAAUAAGAGAAAGAUGUUUGUUGAGGAAGUUAUGGAACUUGUAGAGCUAACUCCAUUAAGAUCAGCUGUAGUUGGAUUGCCUGGAUUUGAUGGUCUAUCAACCGAGCAACGCAAAAGGCUGACCAUUGUAGUUGAACUAGUAGCAAACCCCUCUAUCAUUUUCAUGGAUGAACCGACUUCUGGGUUGGAUGCAAGAGCUGCUGCUAUUGUAAUGAGAGCAGUUAGGAACACUGUCGAUACUGGAAGAAUCGUCGUCUGUACCAUUCAACCGCCUAGCAUCGACAUUUUUGAAGCCUUCGAUGCGCCAAGUAUGCGGCUAGUGGGCCAUUUCGCCCUUGGACGCAAGGAGAUCACGUGAUGAUAAUGAUCCUAAUGACAUUAUUUGAUUUCGUUGCAUUUGUCUUGGAUAUUCAAUUAUGACGAUGUAAUUGUGUGGUUGGAGUGAAUUUUAGAAUAUUAAAGUUUUUUUGUGUUUAAAUUUAUUUUGAGUUUGAAGAUACUAGUUAAUGUUGAAAAUUUGGAGUUUGAAGAUGUUAAUGUUGAAAAUUUAAUUUUGAAGUUUAAUGUUCAAUGUAUUUUUGAUAUGCUUGUCAAUUACAAUGUUUAAUUACUCAUGUUGUAUUAAUGAUAUAUGAAUUGAACAAAUAUUGAAUUGUAGGUUAUGUCUAAAAGAACAAUUAAAUUUGAGCUAAAAUCAGAAAAAAAAGGUCGCAAAUUGUUUGUGACGGCUCGUAUUGUAGGGGUUUUGGGAACCGUCGGAAUUACAUUUUGCAAGGGUUUAAAACCCCCGCAAACCGUAAAAUUAACCCCUGUAAUUUGACUUUUUUUUUUUGUAGUGAAAUAAAAAGAGAGAGUGAGGAUGUUUUUGUACAACUAAUGUGUUUUCUGUUUUUUUAGGUAGCUCCUUUGCCAUAAUGGACACCAUUUUGGCGCACCUUGAUGCUAUUGCCCGAGAGAUGGCUAAGGGUAAUGCGGGUCUUGAAAAAUUAGGCUCGGAUAUGUCUACUAUACUUGAGAGGUUUGAUCGAGUGGAGAGUCGAAGGAAUUUUCGUGUUUUUACUUCCAAAACUUUACCUCAAACAAUCAAUCCACCAAGACCACAAUCAAAUGACAUAGACAUAAGGCAAGCCAUCAUUGCCCUCCAACUCGAGACCUAAGUAGGUCACUUCUCCCUCAAUUCGAUCAAGUCCAACAAGAGGGACUUGGAAACCAAUCUCCUCCCAUCUAAGCUCCACAAUCGAAGCUCCAUAUUACCAAAUCAAUCCUUUCACCCAAAACUCCACUUCAUCAAAAUCGAUAUGUCCAUAUAGAGGAGUGUGGUAGAAAGAAACAUGGGGGACAUGGAGUCUACAAUGAUGCAUCUAUGAUGGAAGAGAAGUUGAGGGGAAGGCGUAGGGAACCACAAGGAACCCACCACCAAGAAAAAAGGUGGGAUGUGUUUAGCGUUUUCUUUGUCUUUCACUAUGUGUUUCAGGUGAGGAUGCAGACAAGGCUCCAGAUGGAGAGGAAACUGAGGUUCAAAAUAAAGAAGUUGAUCAAGACUUAUGUUAAUGAGCUCUCGGGUUCCUUAUGUUCUUUGCGGACUAUUUUUUGUGCCUUCUCAAGUUUUUUGCGGGCUGUUUUGAGUGGUUUCUAUUGAAGUGACCAAGUGAAUGAGGUGAAUCCGUGAAUUUGUGGAUAAAUUUCUCUCAAGAUGGAGAGGAUGAUACGAGAAUAAUCACAGAUAUGGACUUAUGAGAGUGCGUAUUUAGCCUGAGACUUGGUGUGUGUAAUUGAUGUGUAAAAGAUGGCCAAAACACACCAAAAUCAGUCCACUUCUCACACUUGAUGGGCACCUCACCUUUGAAGGGUAUUUUGGUCAUUUUACUUUCUAUUUGUAAUGUACUAUAUAAGGAACAUUGUAGGGUUUCUUUUGUAGUUUUGGAUGAAUAUUGAAAGUUGUAGACACUUAGACAUUUUUCUCUUGUGAGAAAGGCCCCUAUGGCCGAACAUUGUAACUAGGGAUUUCAAUUUGAGUGUGGAAUCGCUCGUGUUGGAUUCAAGCUUGGAAACAUUGGAUGCUUGGGAGAUCGAGGUCCUUCUUAUGCCACGUAAGAGAUAGGUGAAUUAUAGUGUGUAGUGUUAAGGGUUCAAGAGUGGACUAUGCUCUUGGGUUCUUAUGAUUAUGCCUUCAUGUAGUCUAUCUUAAUAUCCCUUUGUUUAGUGUAAUCUUUUAUUGUUGUUUCUUAUGUUGUUAAAACAGUUGGUUAUUUUUAUUUUUA